GACCUGGCUCAGGAUGAACGCUAGCUACAGGCUUAACACAUGCAAGUCGAGGGGCAGCAUGGUCUUAGCUUGCUAAGGCCGAUGGCGACCGGCGCACGGGUGAGUAACACGUAUCCAACCUGCCGUCUACUCUUGGACAGCCUUCUGAAAGGAAGAUUAAUACAAGAUGGCAUCAUGAGUCCGCAUGUUCACAUGAUUAAAGGUAUUCCGGUAGACGAUGGGGAUGCG
rnacentral:rRNA from 1 species